rnacentral:rRNA from 1 species
AGCGAACGCUGGCGGCAGGCUUAACACAUGCAAGUCGAGCGCCUCGCAAGGGGAGCGGCAGACGGGUGAGUAACACGUGGGAACGUGCCUUUUGGUUCGGAACAACCCAGGGAAACUUGGGCUAAUACCGGAUAAGCCCUUACGGGGAAAGAUUUAUCGCCAAAAGAUCGGCCCGCGUCUGAUUAGCUAGUUGGUGGGGUAAUGGCCCACCAAGGCUACGAUCAGUAGCUGGUCUGAGAGGAUGAUCAGCCACAUUGGGACUGAGACACGGCCCAAACUCCUACGGGAGGCAGCAGUGGGGAAUAUUGGACAAUGGGGGCAACCUUGAUCCAGCCAUGCCGCGUGAGUGAUGAAGGCCUUAGGGUUGUAAAGCUCUUUUAGCAGGGAAGAUAAUGACGGUACCUGCAGAAAAAGCCCCGGCUAACUUCGUGCCAGCCGCCGCAGUAACAC